GACGAACGCUGGCGGCGUGCCUAAUACAUGCAAGUAGGACGCAGUUGCGAACGGGUGAGUAACGCGUAGGUAACUGCCUAUUAGAGGGGGAUAACUAUUGGAAACGAUAGCUAAUACCGCAUACUAGUAGAUUGACCUGCGUUGUAUUAGCUAGUAGGUAGGGUAAUGGCCUACCUAGGCGACGAUACAUAGCCGACCUGGGAGGGUGAGUGGACAAACUGGGACUGGGACACGGACCAGAGUCCUAAGGGGGGGAGCAGUAGGGAAUCUUUGGAAAUGGGGGGAACACUGACCGAGCAACGCCGCGUGAGUGAAGAAGGUUUUCGGAUCGUAAAGCUCUGUUGUGAAGGAAGCGGUACUUAACCAGAAAGGGACGGCUAACUACGUGCCAGCAGCCGCGGUAAUAC
rnacentral:rRNA from 1 species